rnacentral:rRNA from 1 species
UACGUAGGGGGCAAGCGUUGUCCGGAUUUAUUGGGCGUAAAGAGCGUGUAGGCGGCCUGAAAGGUCAGCUGUGAAAACUCGAGGCUCAACCUCGAGACGUCGGUUGAAACCAUCUGGCUAGAGUCCGGAGGAGGAGUGUGGAAUUCCCGGUGUAGCGGUGAAAUGCGCAGAUAUCUGGAGGAACACCGGUGGCGAAGGCGGCAUCCUGGACCGGUAUUGACGCUGAUGCGCGAAAGCCAGGGGAGCAAACGGG